rnacentral:rRNA from 1 species
UACGUAGGGUGCGAGCGUUAAUCGGAAUUACUGGGCGUAAAGCGUGCGCAGGCGGUUCGUUGUGUCGGUGGUGAAAUCCCCGGGCUUAACCUGGGAAUGGCCAUGGAAACUGGCGAACUGGAGUGCGGCAGAGGGGGGUGGAAUUCCGCGUGUAGCAGUGAAAUGCGUAGAGAUGCGGAGGAACACCGGUGGCGAAGGCGGGUCUCUGGGCCGAUACUGACGCUGAGGAGCGAAAGCGUGGGGAGCGAACAGG